UGGCUCAGUUGGUAGAGCAUGGUGUUUGCAACGCCAGGGUUGUGGGUUUGAUUCUCAU
rfam:Salmo salar isolate Sally breed double haploid chromosome ssa15, whole genome shotgun sequence.